GCCCAGCUCUAUUGUGCAGAUCUCCUUUGAUGUCAUCCCUCCUCAGAUCUUAUUGGACAGUAAGUAUUACCGAUGUUAGACGACAGUGGGGUAUGUUGACAUCAUUAUUGCUGUAUCCUGCGCAUAUCGGAGCACUAACAACCCGGGCUCCUUGAGUACAGGAGCACAUGCAUUAGUCCUUGCCAUCCGACAAGGACUCGAGGUAUCGCUCCAGUCUACUAAACUCCUGCAGCGUCCAGCAGUGGCAUUAUUGUAUCGGGCAUGAAAAAAAAAAAGAGGGGGGCGAAUUCUGCUGGGAGAAAGAGAGCUACAAUGUGAAAUUGGAUAUUUUGAAGCAGCGGCGGCGGCGGCAGCGGCAGCAGCGGCUGCGGGGAGGAAGAGCCUACUGAGUGCGCAACGGUGGGUGCCCUCUGGGGUGCGGAAAUCAAAGGAAGCACCCCGCUCGCACACACGCCCGGCGGAACGGAGACGCGAGAUGACAAGACACAAGUUACAAAGAGGUUUUCUGUUCGAGACAAGAGGGGAUCUCAUUCAGCACCGGCGAUAAUAACAGCUCCCUGCUCCGCUCGUCUCCAAGGACUGAUGGCCGGACCGGUGCGUUUUACGCACAUCCUCUCCUGAAUUAACCACCUUGUCUGACGUGGAUCAGCUGUUGGUCGGAGGGGAAGCUGAAGGUGACCCGUUGGCUGGGCCAGCGGCUGCAACACAGGACAUGGGUCCUGCCUCUCCUCCCCGCUCGUGUCUUGUGUUGCAGCCAGUGGAGCUGCCUGUCUGCUUCUCUGCCGGACGCCGCUGCCAAGACCGAGCUCCCAGACCGGAUUGGAUCCCGCCGACAAUGGACCUGACGAUGCUGCUCCUCGCCCUAAAGCAGGCCUCUAACCUGUCACUGUCAUUCUGAUUGUAGUUUUCCUCCCUCCCAGAUUAAAGGCAAUAAAUAACUUGAGAGAAAA